rnacentral:rRNA from 1 species
UACGUAGGGUGCGAGCGUUAAUCGGAAUUACUGGGCGUAAAGUGUGCGCAGGCGGCCAACUAAGUCGGACGUGAAAUCCCCAGGCUCAACCUGGGAACUGCGUCCGAUACUGGAUGGCUUGAAUCCGGGAGAGGGAUGCAGAAUUCCAGGUGUAGCGGUGAAAUGCGUAGAUAUCUGGAGGAAUACCGGUGGCGAAGGCGGCAUCCUGGACCGGCAUUGACGCUGAGGAGCGAAAGCCAGGGGAGCAAACGGG